GGUUGAGCCUUGGUAUGGAAACCUACUAAGUGAGAACUUUCAAUUCAGAGAAACCCUGGAAUUAACAAUGAAGAACUGAUUAAUCGGACGAGAAUAAAGAUAGAGUUCCAUUCUACAUG
rnacentral:tRNA from 1 species